GACGAACGCUGGCGGCGUGCCUAAUACAUGCAAGUUGAGCGAUGAAGAUUGGUGCUUGCACCAAUUUGAAGAGCAGCGAACGGGUGAGUAACGCGUGGGGAAUCUGCCUUUGAGCGGGGGACAACAUUUGGAAACGAAUGCUAAUACCGCAUAACAACUUUAAACAUAAGUUUUAAGUUUGAAAGAUGCAAUUGCAUCACUCAAAGAUGAUCCCGCGUUGUAUUAGCUAGUUGGUGAGGUAAAGGCUCACCAAGGCGAUGAUACAUAGCCGACCUGAGAGGGGGAUCGGCCACAUUGGGACUGAGACACGGCCCAAACUCCUACGGGAGGCAGCAGUAGGGAAUCUUCGGCAAUGGACGAAAGUCUGACCGAGCAACGCCGCGUGAGUGAAGAAGGUUUUCGGAUCGUAAAACUCUGUUGGUAGAGAAGAACGUUGGUGAGAGUGGAAAGCUCAUCAAGUGACGGUAACUACCCAGAAAGGGACGGCUAACCACGUG
rnacentral:rRNA from 1 species